rnacentral:sRNA from 1 species
AAAAGUGCAUGAAGGAAAUCGCAAAGCGCUGCCGUACAACGAGGCCACGUGGGCUCAGUGUUUCACCGAACCGAAUGGCAUGCAUCAUUGAACUGUAGAUAGCUAAACUUGGUCGUAAUAGAUGCUUGAAUGCAACUCAAGCAGCAGCAAUCAAAACAUUUAACCAUUGAAAUUGGCUGUGUACUCCAUUAGUAUGCUGGGGCAGAAGGCAAGCAAAACCAUGGAUGUAUGGUGAAAGAGAGAGAGAGGUAGGAGGUAUGGUAGAGGGAGACAAAGAGGAAAACAACUCCCUGCAUAGAUUCUAAUGGCAACAAGAAUCAAAAAUGAAAUGAACAAGAAUGCUUGUCACACAUGAUACAACUCAAACACACAUACACACCAAUACAUAUGCCCGCUAACAAGCAUACCAAGGAUAACUACUACAAUGAUCUCACCAACAAUCGCAUGGGCACAUGAACGACUACACCAAAGACAUAGAAAUUGAACAAUCGCCGAGGUUUGCAAAGAAAACAAAAGGAAAUGCGCCCCAGAAACACCAGCAAACAUCCAUUAUGCUGCUCUAUCGAAUGGUGAAUGGCGUAUCUAUGGAGGACCCUUGGCAAUUGCGAAGAUUUUUGUUGUCACUUACAAUAUGAAUUCCUAGCUAAGGGCUAUCACUGGCUCUCUCCCCCUCCCUUAUAAGUUAUCUUUGCUACUGGCUUCCUUCCGUUUGCCAUGCGAGUAGCUAUAAAAUCUUAAGAAACUUGA